AGCGAACGCUGGCGGCAGGCCUAACACAUGCAAGUCGAACGAACCUUUCGGGGUUAGUGGCGGACGGGUGAGUAACACGUGGGAACGUGCCUUUAGGUUCGGAAUAACUCAGGGAAACUUGUGCUAAUACCGAAUGUGCCCUUCGGGGGAAAGAUUUAUCGCCUUUAGAGCGGCCCGCGUCUGAUUAGCUAGUUGGUUGAGGUAAUGGCUCACCAAGGCGACGAUCAGUAGCUGGUCUGAGAGGAUGAUCAGCCACAUUGGGACUGAGACACGGCCCAAACUCCUACGGGAGGCAGCAGUGGGGAAUAUUGCACAAUGGGCGCAAGCCUGAUGCAGCAACGCCGCGUGAGGGAUGACGGCCUUCGGGUUGUAAACCUCUUUUAGUAGGGAAGAAGCGCAAGUGACGGUACCUGCAGAAAAAGCACCGGCUAACUACGUG
rnacentral:rRNA from 1 species